UACGGAGGAUGCACGCGUUAUCCGGGAUGAUUGGGCGUAAAGCGUCCGCAGGUGGCUAUGUAAGUCUGCUGUUAAAGAGUCUGGCUCAACCAGAUAAAGGCAGUGGAAACUACAUGGCUAGAGUGCGUUCGGGGCAGAGGGAAUUCCUGGUGUAGCGGUGAAAUGCGUAGAGAUCAGGAAGAACACCGGUGGCGAAAGCGCUCUGCUAGGCCGCAACUGACAGUGAGGGACGAAAGUUAGGGGAGCGAAUGGG
rnacentral:rRNA from 1 species